rnacentral:rRNA from 1 species
UAGGGAAUCUUCCGCAAUGGGCGAAAGCCUGACGGAGCAACGCCGCGUGAGUGAUGAAGGGUUUCGGCUCGUAAAACUCUGUUAUUAGGGAAGAACAAAUGUGUAAGUAACUGUGCACGUCUUGACGGUACCUAAUCAGAAAGCCACGGCUAACUACGUGCCAGCAGCCGCGGUAAUACGUAGGUGGCAAGCGUUAUCCGGAAUUAUUGGGCGUAAAGCGCGCGUAGGCGGUUUCUUAAGUCUGAUGUGAAAGCCCACGGCUCAACCGUGGAGGGUCAUUGGAAACUGGGAAACUUGAGUGCAGAAGAGGAAAGUGGAAUUCCAUGUGUAGCGGUGAAAUGCGCAGAGAUAUGGAGGAACACCAGUGGCGAAGGCGACUUUCUGGUCUGUAACUGACGCUGAUGUGCGAAAGCGUGGGGAUCAAACAGGAUUAGAUACCCUGGUAGUCCACGCCGUAAACGAUGAGUGCUAAGUGUUAGGGGGUUUCCGCCCCUUAGUGCUGCAGCUAACGCAUUAAGCACUCCGCCGGGGGAGUACGACCGCAAGGUUGAAACUUAAAGGAAUUGACGGGGGUCAUAGCUGUUUCCUG